AAUAUUGCACAAUGGAGGGAACUCUGAUGCAGCAACGCCGCGUGAGUGAAGAAGGUUUUCGGAUCGUAAAACUCUGUCAUUGGGGAAGAAUAAAUGACGGUACCCAAUGAGGAAGCCCCGGCUAACUACGUGCCAGCAGCCGCGGUAAUACGUAGGUGGCAAGCGUUGUCCGGAUUUAUUGGGCGUAAAGCGCGCGCAGGCGGUCUUUUAAGUCUGAUGUGAAAUCUUACAGCUUAACUGUAAGCGGUCAUUGGAAACUGGGAGACUUGAGUGCAGAAGAGGAGAGUGGAAUUACAUGUGUAGCGGUGAAAUGCGUAGAGAUUAGGAGGAACACCAGUGGCGAAGGCGACUUUCUGGACUGUAACUGACGCUGAGGUACGAAAGCGUGGGUAGCGAACA
rnacentral:rRNA from 1 species